CCUCGUUCUCCUUCUUUCCUCUCCUUCUCUCCUCUCCUCUCCCCCCCGUCUCUUCCUCUGAGGUUUUUAAAGGGUCAGAUGAGAGAUGGGAUGUGGAAAUUCUUCUCCAGCCAACAACAACGCCACCAACAGCAGCAGCAACAGUGAAGGUGGCACGGCAGGUCCUUUUGAGACGUCAUCAAAGGGUUCAGAGGAGUCUGCUCCAGAAGAUGAAAAAUGGAAGAACUAUGGAGGUGUGUACGUGGGUUUUCCUGCAGACAUGAGCAACAUCCCUGAAGUUCAGAUAGGAUCCCUUCGAGAGAAUGAGAGAGACUCAUCGUCCCUCAGGAGGCCGCUGUGGGGGAACGGACUCUAAUUUUAAUGACGAGCCAGAGCUGCAAGGCGCCACAAGAGAAAGAUGGCUUAGGAGAGCUUUUCGAGUGUGAAGAAGAAAACUCCAGGUGUUCGUCAGGCUGUCAGUGUCGCCUUCAGGAGCCCACUAAGGACCAGCAGCCUCCUGGCAGUGACCCUCUGUGAGGACUUAAUGGGACUGUGAGACUGAGAAAGAUCUCUUUUAUGGAAGCGGAUGUCAAACUGGACUCAUGGAAAAAGGGAUGGAGACUCCACUGGGUGCAGUCCUUGAUUGGCGUGUUGGGUAGCUGCUGAAGGCUCAUCAUAUUUGUUCCACUGUAGAAAGAAGAGUCUUUAUCUACGUUUCUGUAAGAAGUGCUUUGAGGUGCAGGAUAAACAUGUUCAGCUGCUCACCUGCUGGUUUGUUUGUUUUUGUUUGAGAUGAAAACCUGCAGACUCUUUGGCCCUCCUCCAGGACUCGUACAGAAAGUGGCUCCCGCUGAGAGAUGACGUCAAGUGAGCGUCUCCUCCUCCUCCUCCUCCUCCUCCUCCUCUGGGAACAUCACGCAGUAAAGAAGUGAAAAAGCUGACACUGAAGAGAGAGUUUUUCUUACAUUAACCCUUUGAGCUCCAAAGUGAUGCGGGAGCUGUUCUUUGUACUCCACAAGGAGAGGAUGCAGAUCAUUUGAAGAGAGACUGGACACCUUUUGUGUUUUUAAAACGAGAUUUAAUUGUGAAGAAGGGUUCACAUUUAGUGGCUGACUAUCAACAAGGGGCAUCGGGGUCAGGGUGUGUGAAUCCAGCCAGGAUACUUCAGUUAUGAUAACAAGGUUUACUUCUUUAAAUUCAAGUCAAAUUUUCAAUGAAGGGGGGUGACUGAAAACACACAUGAUAUUUCAAACAU